GAGUUUGAUCCUGGCUCAGGAUGAACGCUGGCGGCGUGCUUAACACAUGCAAGUCGAACGAUGAUCCGGUGCUUGCGCCGGGGAUUAGUGGCGAACGGGUGAGUAACACGUGAGUAACCUGCCCUUAACUCUGGGAUAAGCCUGGGAAACUGGGUCUAAUACCGGAUAUGACUCCUCAUCGCAUGGUGGGGGGUGGAAAGCUUUAUUGUGGUUUUGGAUGGACUCGCGGCCUAUCAGCUUGUUGGUGAGGUAAUGGCUCACCAAGGCGACGACGGGUAGCCGGCCUGAGAGGGUGACCGGCCACACUGGGACUGAGACACGGCCCAAACUCCUACGGGAGGCAGCAGUGGGGAAUAUUGCACAAUGGGCGCAAGCCUGAUGCAGCGACGCCGCGUGAGGGAUGACGGCCUUCGGGUUGUAAACCUCUUUCAGUAGGGAAGAAGCGAAAGUGACGGUACCUGCAGAAGAAGCGCCGGCUAACUACGUGCCAGCAGCCGCGGUAAUACGUAGGGCGCAAGCGUUAUCCGGAAUUAUUGGGCGUAAAGAGCUCGUAGGCGGUUUGUCGCGUCUGCCGUGAAAGUCUGGGGCUCAACUCCGGAUUUGCGGUGGGUACGGGCAGACUAGAGUGAUGUAGGGGAGACUGGAAUUCCUGGUGUAGCGGUGAAAUGCGCAGAUAUCAGGAGGAACACCAGUAGCGAAGGCGGUGCUUUGGGCCGGUACUGACGCUGAGGAGCGAAAGCGUGGGUAGCGAACAGGAUUAGAUACCCUGGUAGUC
rnacentral:rRNA from 1 species